UACGUAGGGUGCAAGCGUUAAUCGGAAUUACUGGGCGUAAAGCGUGCGCAGGCGGCUUUGCAAGACAGAUGUGAAAUCCCCGGGCUUAACCUGGGAACUGCAUUUGUGACUGCAUGGCUGGAGUGCGGCAGAGGGGGAUGGAAUUCCGCGUGUAGCAGUGAAAUGCGUAGAUAUGCGGAGGAACACCGAUGGCGAAGGCAAUCCCCUGGGCCUGCACUGACGCCCAUGCACGAAAGCGUGGGGAGCAAACAGG
rnacentral:rRNA from 1 species